GUGGUUAGCAAACAGGAUUAGAUACUCUGGUAGUCCACGCUGUUUACGAUGAAUACUAGAUGUUGGGGGAGCCUUUUCCUUCAGCGUCGUAGCUAACGCAUUAAGUAUUCCGCCUGGGGAGUACGGUCGCAAGACUAAUACUCAAAGGAAUUGACGGGAGCCCGCACAAGCGGUGGAUUAUGUGGUCUAAUUCGAAGCAACGCGAAGAACCUUACCUGGGCUUGAAAUCCCACGAACUCUUUUUAAACGAAGAGGUGCCCGUCAGGGAAUGUGGAGACAGGUGCUGCAUGGCUGUCGUCAGCUCGUGUCGCGAGAUGUUGGGUUAAGUCUCGCAACGAGCGCAACCCCUAUCUUUAGUUGCCAGCANUAAGUUGGCAACUCUAGAGAGACUGCAUGGGUGAACCAGGAGCAAGGUGGGGAUGACGUCAAGUCCUCAUGGCCACUAUGUCCAGGGCUGCACACGUAAUACAAUGGCAAAUACAAAGCGAAGCGAACAUGCGAGCGGGAGCUAAUCUCAAAAGUUGNNCCUCAGUUCGGAUUGGAGUCUGCAACUCGACUCCAUGAGCUCGGAUUCGCUAGUAUUCG
rnacentral:rRNA from 1 species